UCCUUCUCAAAGGUGUUUACCCAUGGCUGCAUCACCAUGAAAGCGAACUACCCUGAUAGUGCUAGCAAUAAAAAAAAGGGUAAAUUUGUGGGCUAUUGUGCUAUAAGUAAGGGAUCCGGUUGAAUCCGAUCUGAUCGGAUCCGACCACAAGAAUACGAUGCAAUGGCCGGGAAAGAAACGAACCACCCUACCAUCAUACGACUGACCAAGACCAAAACCCUGCCUUGAGCGGCCAUCCUUAGUAUUGAUACUCAUGUGUAACUUUUGCUCUUCCUGCUUCUCCAGCACUACCUCACCUUUUCUUGUGAUGCCGAAUGAUGCAACCCCUUGGAAUUGUCCUUUUAUAUUUGAAAGGACAGUGCUCUAGGGCUUCACAUAUAAUUGUGGAUUAACAAAAUUACCCUUUUCAUUUUAUCCAAGAAAAAGAAUUUGAAUAUCAUAAUUCGAUUUGUCUAAUGGAUAUCACCCGUAUGGAUUUAGAAGAAGCCACGUAUAAUGGCACACUAAUGGAAAGUAAGGUUUGAACCCUUGAUCUUCCACUCCACAAUAUAUGUGAUGGUCAACUUCUUCUGGAGAAAUUAAUUAUAUAUGGAUUUAGAAGAAAUCACAUAUAGUGGCACAGUGAUAGAAGGUAAGGUUUGAACCCUUGACCUCCCACUCCACAAUACAUGUGAUGGCCAACUUCUUCUAGAGAAAUUGAUUAUAUAUAUAGUAGGUUAGGUGAAUACUAAAUGUGUUAACGGAUGUUUCUAUCAUAAUUUGAAAAAAUAAAUUUAAAUAUUAUUUAAUUUGUAUCAUAAACACAACAUUCAAUUACGAAUAGUUUUUUUACGUAUUGUUCAGAGUAGUCUUUUUUCCAAAUAAUCUCCUAUCCAAACAAUAGCCCUGUAGUGCGUGUCUAAGGGUUUUAACAGUUAGAAUAUCCCUAUUCAGUGGACGAAUUUGGCUGAGUUCCAUCCCCAACUGCAAUCCAAUCUCUUGGUCUACUUUUAGGCAUGCGUCAAAUACCAAUGACGUGAGAAAAAUACGAAGACUUCGAAGCACGAUUAGCAUAAUGAGAAGGUAAAAUUACAUUAAAGCACAACUAGUACACAACUGACAGCACGUUACGCUCUCCACAGGCAUGCUAAAAUUAAAGCUAGAAUCCUGAUGGAGCAGAGCAAGUCAGACAACUAACUUGAAUUCACUACUUAUGGGAUAGGGAUUGAGCUAGAAUCAUGAUGGAGAAAGACAGACCUAAACUAAUUAGAUAUCAUCAUAUCACUUCUUACGGGACAGGAAAUGAUCUUGAGUUCAUUCCAAUGUCAAUUUAACAAAAUAUUACUUCCUAUAAAAUAGGAAAAGAAUGAUAUUUCCAUCCUUAUCUUUUUAUCAAUGAUUCACACCACGAAGGGUACUCUGCAAUUACAGGAGUAGUUGUAGAGGUUGUAGAGGCCCAUACUGAAGGCAUUUAUAUUCGCAGCAUGACCACCUAAACUCACAAUUGCCCAUAUUGGUAAUCCUGAAGGGAAACACGGAUGGCCUUCAUGAAGCUAAACACCGAUGGCUCCUCAAAAGGUAAUCUUGGGGCAGCUGGUGCUGGUGGGGUGUUUCGUGAUCAUACAGGUACAUGGAUGCCGAGGCUUGGGCGACUGGAGAUGGACUUCACAUUGCAAUUGAGAAAAAAAUUCGCACACGUUAUUGUUGAAUCUGACUUUAAAGUCACUACUGAUUUGAUUGCAGAGCAUUUGUCCAGCAGAUUCCGCAAGUGAAGUUUAAACAUGUAUUCAGAGAAUCAAACAGGUGUGCAGAUGAGUUGGCUAAACUAGGAGCUCAGCAAGAGGAGGAUUUUGUUUUGCACCUGUUCCCUCCUCCCCGGUUCUGUUAGUAGUAUUAGUAUAUGCACUGAUGACAUUCGAGGAGUUUCAUUUCCUCGAAUGAUUGUAGAAGAUUUGCAUUCAUUUGAUUUAAUCUUCUGAUUCUACCAACUAAAAAAAAAAAAAACCUUGGAUAAUAUCAAAAACCUUUAGACGUUGUCAUGAAAAAAAGAAAAGAAAGAAAAGAAAGGAAUAAUAUCAAAAACCUUCCUUGACAUUUCUCGUAUUAUCUUUUUUUUUUUUUGUCGACACAGGGGUGUCCGGGUCAAUCCUUACGGGGCCCGACUAAUCCCCUGCGGCCCGGAUCCGGCGCCCCAACCCGACCCGAACGCGUUAAGUGCGCGGAGGAAUCCAGCGUAGCGGAGACUCGAACUUGUGACCUCAAGGUUCACUGGUGAGAGGCGCUGCCGCUGGACCAUUCACGCGGGGCGACAUUUCUCGUAUUAUCACUUGGCACUUUUUAGGUUUUUAGGAUUUCACCUGCCUCCCUUGGAUAGGAUUGAUAUUUUAGCCUCUUUGGAGGAAAUGCAAAAAAGAUGAAUUUUUUUCCCAACAGUACCCUUAUGUUAUCCUACUUAUGAAACUUACAAUAACAAUAAAAAAUAAAAUAAGGUUAACAAGUUAAAAGUUAAAAAUACGAGCAGUUAUAAAUUCAAUAACGAGUAAUUUUAUAGUUAUACAACAACUAUUACCCAGUAUAAUAGAUGACGUUUUAACCCAAAAAAAAGGGAUAUACCUAGGUACAUUUGGUCAUUAGAUCUUUUUUGAUUAACUUUUUAAUUCUGACUUAUUUAUAAUUUUUUUUCUAUAAGCAAGAUUUGUAUUACAAACCACACGUAUGAUGAGAUGGAUUUUAAUUUUCAGUACAACUUAAAUUACAUCAUGUAUUAAAAUAUAUUUCUUGACUUCCUUGUAACUGUUCCACAAAAAUUUCAAGGUAUUAAUUACUUACCAAAAUUCUUCUGAGUUGUUGAUUUUGACUAGAUUUAAUCUCAGAAGAACUAAGCGAUAUCAUAAGGAAUCAUAAGAGAGAUCCCAAAAUUAUCCCAAAUAGAAAAGAACUUCAUUUUUGUUGUCUCUACUACUCUAAGUAGAGAUAAGGAUAGUAGAGAGAGAAUAUUUAUGUUGAUUCAAUCAUUCUUUUAAGGUUACAAGUAAGGCUUUCUGUCAUAGGUAAUACAAAACCAAAUAUACAUGUACUCAUAUUAAUUUCAAUAUAUAAUUUAAUAGUUCAAGUAUUUGAAAUAAGUAGUUCGAUGAACUCAUGAAUUACGAGGAAUUUAAUUGAUCAUUUUAAGAAGAAAAUGAAUGCACAUCCAUACUUAUCAUUUUGUUAAUUAUUAUAAUAAUUUAUUUUAAGAGAAGUUCAAAACCUUAUAAUAAUAAAAAUAAAGAAAUAAUUUGUGAGUUAAACCAGAAACCUCACAUGAACGAAAGAAUUCUACAUUUUUGAGCAUAUAAUCCUAAAAUAUUUCACUGGAUUGGAAAUCAUGGGGAAAAAAAAGUACUAAAAAAAAAUUUAAUUCGAUAAUCUCACGAAGUUAAAUACUAACAUAAAACAAAAGUCUCGAAUACAAAAAAUGUAAUCUUACAGUUUAGCUUAUGCAUUAGAAUUUUGAAAGUAAUGUUACAAAAAAUGUUAAAGUAGUAAGUAAGAAGUUCCGGUUGGAAGACCACGCUUUUGUCUAAAAUCGCUUCAAAAACCUCUCAAUUUGUCCUAAACUUGAACCAAUGGCACCUCCUCUCCUAUCCUUAACUACUGGAAACCAACACUCCCUCCUCUUUCUCAGUUAGCCCCUCAAAAGCCCAAGGAUGUACACCCAAUUUCACACCUCUACUCUCCUUCCUACACUCCCACUAACUCAUUCUCCUCCACUGUCCCGCCGUACCAUCCUCCUAUACUCUCAUCGCCUGCCACCCCUUCACCGUCGACGACCCACUUCCCUUCGUUUCCCACUUAGAAUUUCCAGUUGUAUCAAUUCUACUGGUACUAUCAGCAGUUCUUUAAGUACUGAAGAAGAAGAGGAGAGACCCAGUAAUAAUAAGAGAGUGAAAGCCUACCCAUUUCAUGAAAUAGAGCCCAAGUGGCAGCGAUAUUGGGAGGAGCACAAAACUUUUAGAACCCCACAUGAUGAUCUUGACACUACCAAGCCUAAGUACUAUGUUCUUGACAUGUUCCCUUAUCCAAGGUCCAAUCUUUCUCACACUUUUUAAGCCUUUUCUCCUCUGGAAAUGCUCCUGGAUAUGCUGUGUGACUCUGUAAUUAUGUCAUUCUUUGCUGUAUGCAGAAAGAAAGUUUAUUUUGUUUCUUAAAUAGAAGUCAUUCAAAUUCGCCAAAAAAAAAAAGAGAAAGAAGCUGACUUUCUGUAUGCGUUGAAAGGUAAUUCUUCUUCAAAUGCAUGAGGAAGCUACUGUAAGGUUGCUAUAUAAAAAAGAAAAAUGGAUUUUUUCUUUGAAGAUAUCUUCCAAGCAGGUCUAAUAUUGUCUGAAGUUGGACCUUCCUAGAGCCUAAACUAGCUGGAACUUUUACACGGUGUUUUCUCUAUCUUUAUUUUGAAACGUAUCUAUUGUAUUCCUGUUUUUCAUAGAGUAGAAUUGAAUGUGAGUAAAGGCGUGAACUUUGAAAAAUUUUAACGACUAUGGGGCUAAGUUUGUAAUGGCGUUACUCCAAAUAAUGUUCCUUGGCAACAGAAAUUUUGAUUUUGACUAAGGUGACAAAUUCUGUGACCUGCCUCGUUGAGAUGGUGGUUCUGUCUCUGAUUAAAUCAUUGUUACAGCGGAGCUGGUUUACAUGUUGGCCAUCCUCUUGGAUACACUGCCACGGAUAUCCUUGCUAGGUUUAAGCGAAUGCAGGGGUUCAAUGUUUUGCAUCCAAUGGGAUGGGAUGCUUUUGGUUUACCCGCAGAACAAUAUGCAAUCCAGGUUGAUUAGCAAAUUCGUGAACAUGUCGGCACAAUUGGCUAUUAGGCUGUGAAGGGUUAUUAAUAUUGUAACUCUUGUUUGCUUGUGUUUGACAGACUGGAACACACCCAAAAAUCACGACAUUAAGAAAUAUUGAGCGCUUUCGUUCCCAGGUUAUUUGAGAACCCUGUUGAUUCAUAGUCUGCUUGAUAAAGGCCUUUUCCAUGGUUAUCAUGCUUUAUUCAAGUUUUUUAAUAUUGACUUCUAGAUUCGUUGUUGUUACCGAUUCUCUUGUAAAAUGGAUAGUAAAUCUCUUCUUUUAGUAGGCGUUAUUUAACUGGAUGUGUAUUUAAGUUAAUGAAUCAUCGAGAUUAAAAACACAUACUUAUGACUGACCUGGAGAAAAAAUGCUUGCUCUCAGAUGCUGAAUCACAGUACAUAAUGAUGAUAUUCUGCCCUUGAUUCUGUUGUUCUGUGGAUUUUUUUUUUUGUUAUCUAGAUGUUUUGCAGACCAAUUAAUGGUCGGGUAUUUUUUUUCAGCAUACGGUUUCUGAAACUAUAUUUAAACUAAAAAAUAGUCUACACAAACUGAGUAGACUUGAGAAUUUUCCAUUCAGUUGUUAGAUCCUUUGUAGCUGAAUAGCAUAUUCUUUCGUCUUUGAAUGAUCUUUAUGCAUAUUACUGUUCUAGGCCAAAUACAUAAAUGUGAUUACACGCACUGACGUCUGUGCCUUUUUCCAGCUUAGGUCAUUAGGUUUCUCAUAUGAUUGGGACCGUGAGAUUUCUACAACAGAACCGGACUACUAUAAAUGGACACAAUGGAUAUUUUUGCAACUUUUGAAAAGAGGAUUGGCAUAUCAGGUAUACCUCCAUGAUCAAAAUUCUGUUUCGUGCUUAUUUGAAGAUAUGUUUACAGUCUUCCAAUUUUAUAGGCUGAAGUUCCCGUAAACUGGUGUCCUGCACUUGGUACUGUAUUGGCUAAUGAAGAAGUGGUGGACGGUGUGAGUGAACGAGGGGGUCAUCCAGUUAUUAGAAAGGUAUGUUUGCUCUAUAUGUUUCCGCAUUGAGUUAUCUAUCUUUGACUUCUAUUUUUUUUCCUUAUCUUUUUUAUUGGAUGGUUUUAUGAUUUUACAGUUACUUGUUUAUUACCAAGCAGCCUAUGCGGCAAUGGAUGCUGAGGAUUACUGCAUAUGCUGACAGUCUUCUUGAAGAUCUAAAUGAUCUUGACUGGCCUGAAAGCAUUAAGGAAAUGCAAAGGAACUGGAUAGGGAGGUCAGAAGGUGCAGAAGUGGAAUUUCAUGUGAUGGACACGGAUGGGCAGCAAACAGAUAUAAAAAUUGUAGUUUACACGACCAGACCUGAUACCAUUUUUGGGGCAACGUAUGUCUAUGAUUGUUCAAUUCUGUUUUUGACCAGUGUUUGAAACAACUAUCAUACCCUUAUGGCUAUUCUUGCUGUGCAGCUAUUUAGUCCUGGCACCUGAGCAUAUCUUAUUGUCAUCAAUGGUAUCUGAGGCCCAAAGCAAACACGUAUGUUAAUGCAUUAAUUUUGACUUAUCCUCCAGUGCUUGCCUGAUGUGGUUAUAAAAAAGAGGAAUGUCAUCAAUUAUAGGUGGAAGAAUAUAAAGAACUUGCUGCUAGAAAGAGUGAUCUUGAAAGGACAGAACUUCAAAAGGAAAAAACAGGGGUGUUUACUGGUUGUUAUGCAAGAAAUCCAGCUACUGGAGAGGCUAUUCCAAUUUGGAUUGCUGAUUAUGUUUUAGGAAGGUGUGUAUUGAAUUUUUCUAGCUUUUUGGGUCCUAUUCUUUUUAACUUCUUGGGAAUGUUUUAGAUGCACUUGCAGUGCCAACCAGAUCUCUAGAAUUGAUUGUGAGGUGCAUUAGCUGAUUAAAUUGUCAACUUAGGAAUAAUUUACUGUUUUAAGUUUUAAUGAAGAGUAUACAAAUUCAUGCAGCUAUGGGACUGGAGCAAUAAUGGCUGUACCUGCUCAUGACAUGCGGGACCAUGAAUUUGCUUCAAAGUAUAACCUUCCAAUUUGUGGAGUUGUGAUGCCAAAUGAUCAGAAUAUUAGCAGUUUUGACAAAGCAUAUUCUGGUGAUGGUACUGUGAUAAAUUCAUCAAAUUUGACCACAGGGCUUGACAUCAAUGGCUUGUCAAACAAAGAAGCUGCUUCUGAAGUUACCAAGUGGCUUGAGAAAAGUGGGAACGGAAAGAGAAAGGUAUGUCUUUUUGUCACAGAGAUGUAAAGUUCCUCGUGCAUUUGCAUUCCAAAUUUUUAGAUUGUGCUUCAAAAGAGCAUGGCUUGCCUUUAGGUUUAAGAUACUCUUUGGAGUAGAUAAUCUGCUCUAGAGUCACAGGCAAGGGACUUCAUUAUGUUGCCUCUACAAGAUAAAAUUUAAGUUGAUCAUUUUCUUAGAAGGAAUGCUAGCUCUAUGUAAGAUGCAAGUUGCAACUCAUGGAGGAGGGCAUUUCUUUUACAUGCGUUGUUUAGCAAAGACGGUUCUUUUUUUAACAAAUUUUACUUUUCUUAGGUUAAUUACAAGUUGAGGGACUGGCUUUUUGCCCGACAACGUUAUUGGGGGGAGCCUAUUCCAGUUAUCUUUUUGGGUGAAACUGGUGAAACUGUUCCUCUUCCUGAGACAGAGCUGCCUAUUACCCUUCCAGAGUUGGAUGAUUUUACUCCAACUGGUUCAGGUGAACCACCGCUGUCAAAAGCAGCAUCUUGGGUAUGUUUAGCUUUAUAACAAUAAUUGAGUUGUUAUUUGGGUUGUUGGGACCAUUUCUUAGUUAUAUUCAUAGGAAAUAUCUGGAUACAUUUGGAGAUUGUUUGCCCAACAUCUUCAUUGAGAAUGAGCUCUAAUUGAAGUUAUAAACCUCAAAACCGAAGUUAGCCAUGUAUUUUCUUUGUUCCAACUUCCUUCUGUUUUCCUAGUGGUAAGGUUGUUUUUACGUCCUUGACUAAUAUUUUCAUGCCUUAUCUGACUGGUUGGUUUCAGGUUAAAACUUUUGAUCCUUUGUCAGGGAAACCUGCUGAACGUGAGACAAACACUAUGCCACAAUGGGCUGGUUCAUGCUGGUAAUUUGUGGUUAAUUAGCUUAAGUAUCUGUAUUUGUUGCCCUUUGUUGUACAAAAAUUUUCUUCACUUGCUCCAUUCCUCCUUAAAAAUUCUGUACAUGAGAUAAAAAUGGCAUAUGAAGUUUUCUUGGGAAAAGUACAUUUGUCCAAGUUAUCUAGGGGUUUCAUAGGAAAUACAGCAAAACAGAGGAAAAUUGGGAAUGGGCAAAGUUAACUUUUGUCUGCUGAUUUGAUAUCAGGCUAGAAUAAACUAUCUGUGGUUGGAGGAGUUUUAUCACAUUAUUGUCAUAUGAAGGCUUCAUUUUUCAUCAUGAUUUGAUUGCUAUUCAAAAUAAACAGAAGUUAGUAUCUUAGCUCUAAAUACAGAUAAUAUUUAUAUUUUUUGGCAUUAUGUCUUGUAUAAUACCAUCAUUUUGCUGUAAGCAUUGUUGGUUGGUACGGCAUCAUUUUUUCUAGUCAAGUGUGUUUUCUACAGUACAGUUUUCACUUUUAAGCUGCUAAUUCAUCUUCUCAUAUCAUUGGCUUUGUAUCCCAAGUUCUCUUAUGUAUGGACGCAAACCAGAUUGAAUCAGAAUCACAAACUGAUUACUGAGUUGUAAAAAGCGUAAUCAUAUCCACUUGAUAUUCUUGUCUGCACUCUUGACAAAGUUGUUCUAUGGUCUUCACCAUCUUUUAUAGAUUGUAAACUUUAUACCUUUGUUAAUAAUUUCCAGGUACUACCUGAGAUUUAUGGAUCCUAAAAAUUCCAAAAUGCUGGUAGAUAAAGCAAAAGAAGCGUAAGCUCUAAAUUUGACUAUAGUUUAUUUUCCUACCAGUUCCUUUUUUAAAGAAAUAUUAUGUUGCCCUUUUCAAUCAUCUUUUGCUUUUCAGAUAUUGGAGCCCAGUUGAUGUUUAUGUUGGUGGUGCUGAGCAUGCAGUUCUUCACUUACUCUAUGCCCGUUUCUGGCACAAGGUUUGUACUGCCAAGCUUUGCUUGAAUAUAAGUCCUACAGCAACUUCCACAAUAGUGAAGAGCUGCACCCAUCACAUUUCAUUACCAGCUCAUAUCAUCCUUCACAUUUAUCAAUUGGUACACACCCAAAAGAAAUGAGGAAUAUUCUAUUUCUAGGAAACUGGUUAUCAUCACUAUUAAUCAUUUUUGUGUGAGCCAACCUUUGUUUUAGGAUGAUGACAAGGUUAGGUAAAACUCAAACAAAUUCAAGUGUAGUGUAGAUGGUUGUUAAUUUUGUUAUAAACUUCCAUGACCAGAGCUGUCUAAAACUCUUAAACAUAGGAAGUAGUAAAUUAGAGCUUAAUGCUGAUUGUAUCCUUGUAAUAGGAGGAUAUUUGACUGUACCUUUUGAAUUAUUGUUGUUUUCUUUCAGGUUCUUUAUGACAUUGGAGUAGUGUCAAAGAAGGAACCCUUCCAAUGUGUCAUAAAUCAGGGCAUCAUCCUUGGAGAAGUAAGUGAAAUGUAAUCAUAAAAGAUUAUGCAUCUUCCUGUAGCAAAUAGUUUAUUGUUUUGCGUUGCAGGUUGAAUAUAUUGCAUACAGAGAUCCAGAUGGGAACUUGAUAUCUGCAGAUAUUGUUGAUGAGUUGACUGAGCUUAGUCAAGAAAGAGUCCCUGAGGAUGAGGUACUUUCGUUUGCAUAUUCUGAAUUUUUGGGUAAUUAUUCCUGUGCUGUCAUUGAUGCAUGCUUACCUGUGUUUGUGAACAAGGGUAACUUUUUGUGGCUUCAUCCUCCUUUUCGCUUCCUUUCACCUUGUCGGCCUUUUUGGGAUUAGUUUCAUUGUGUUCUUUUUUUGUGUGUGACUAUAUUUGAAAUGGCUUUAAUCCUCAGCCAAACUUGACAUAUUAGGUAAUGUUUGCAGCAUUUUCUCUUCCUCCAAACUCUUUCUGCUUUCCCCUCUAAUUCUCUUGAGAGUAGUUUGUAUAUAGUUUAUCAUGCAUGCAGUUACACCCAGCUUAACAUGCCUUGUAUUCUUUGCUGAUGUAGGUUAGAAAAUCUGGCGACUCUUAUGUUCUUAAAGACAAUCCGACUAUUCGGUUAAUUGCACGAGCUCACAAGAUGAGUAAAAGUAGGGGAAAUGUCAUAAAUCCUGAUGAUGUUGUUUCUGAGUAUGGUGCAGAUUCUCUUCGGUUGUAUGAAAUGUUUAUGGGCCCAUUACGGUAGCUUCCUUCACUCCUUUUUGGUUUUUUUUAAGAAUGAACUCUUGCUAUUAAUUCUUUAGAAGUGAGUUUCUGAUUAUUCUUUUCUUUCUUUACAUCAUAAUUUUUUCACAUUUCAGUGACUCUAAACCAUGGAAUACUAGUGGUAUUGAAGGGGUCCAUCGUUUUUUGGCAAGAGCUUGGAGAUUAAUUGUUGGUUCACCAUCACCCAGUGGUGAAUUUAAAGAUGGAACAGUAGCACUUGAUGAGGAACCUUCUACAGACCAACUUCGAUCUCUUCAUAAAUGCAUUGAUAAGGUAGAUUUAUCAAAAUUUUGGAUCGGCUUCUGCUAUUCAUAGUUUGUAUAUCCCUUUUCUUUUGUAGAUUGCAGGUUCUAUGGUUAACAAUAAAUGUAUUAUUUCUUGUCAAUCUAAAGCUUUUCUUCCUUGCAGCAUCUGAUGGGCUCAUGUGAUUGCAUUUGCUCUUUAUGUUUACUUUGUCUAUUUAUAAACUGGUUUCAUGCUACAGGUAACAGAAGAAAUUGAAGCAACACGGUUCAACACAGGAAUUUCUGCAAUGAUGGAGUUCAUUAAUGCUGCAUAUAAGGUCUCUCUCUCUCUCUCUCUCUCUCUCUCUCUCUCAUUUUUCUUUUUCAUAACAAACUAAGCUUUAGAAAAUGGUCACUCCCAUAUCAGGCAGGACUUGUAUCCUUGAAUUGAAGAAGGAAAUUGGAAGACAAAUUUUCAAAUUCAUGGUGUAGUUACCUCUUCGACUGGUUUUAGAAUGAACCUUCCCGAUUUUAUCUGUGUUGUACUACAAAAUCAACGAGACUAAGUACUGGUAAAAAGAAUCCUGAACUGGUCAAAACUGUUGAACAAAUUCUCAACUUUUUCAAUUAUUUUACUCUUUUCCCUGCUCAUUUUCUCUUUUAACGAUUUUCUAUUAGCUUCUUUAACCUAUCUGUGAUUUCUUUUCUAUUUUGCAAUGAGAACCUUAUUUCCUUUAAGCAGAUUUUAAGCAUUGAUGUCAAGAUGAUGUCAGUUGAUAUGGAAUGGUUAUUAUUAGGAGAACCAUUUUACUUGCACUUAGGUUUCAACGCAUUUACUGAAUAGAUUAUCUGUUUGCAAAUUUUAAAAUUUGUUUCUAGUGGAAGAAACUUCCAAGAUCAACUGCUGAAGCAUUUGUUUUGCUGCUUUCGCCAUAUGCACCUCACAUGGCCGAGGAGCUGUGGUCUCGUCUGGGUCAUUCAAAUUCCCUUGCCCAUGAGCCUUUUCCCAAGGUAUGGGCAUGUUUCUUCAAAUACAGUUUUCUGUGGCUAGGGUUCUCAGUCUCGUGAUCCCCUAGCCCCACCAGACUCCUGUUGCAGGUGCUUAUCGCACCACAGUAUUUCUUUUGUUUGUUCUUGUAAUUGUUCAAUUGAUGCAGCAAUUCAUGCGACCAUAUAUCUUGUCAUCCCUAUACAUAUAUGUAAUGCAUUUGAGAUCUGCUGUGAGCAGCCAAAUAUGAGACUGGUCUCAACAGAAUAAUUUUUUAUCUGGUUAGCAAAAAAUGUCCGAAUAUCACUUAACAGCUAACUUAUUCCCUUUCAGUUUUUCCAACAUAGAUACAAAAGCUCUUGGCUGCAAAAAAUAAAAAAUCACCUUGUAUCCAAAAUGACCACAAUUUAGAGAAAGAUUCUUUAAAAGGAAAAUGAAUGUAAAGAAAGCAAAUGGUAGCAGUGGAGAGUUUUGUUGAAGAAAAUCACUAACGCUUCUGAAGCAUUGAAUGUUUAUAUAGGUGCCUGGUACAGUUAAUAGCCAUAUUACUAUCUAAUUCUCACUAAUUGUGAUCUCCUUUCUUGUUUGUUAAGGCUGCCAUCCCUUACCUAAUUCUAGAUGUUUUUGUGUUCUUUUGUUCAGCAUUUUCUUUCUUUGAUGCUUGUCAAGACCAAUAAAACUCCAUAUUAUGAUUUACAGUUGAAGAAUAUUAAAGAAAGCUGAAGAGUUUGCUCAGGGAAAAGAUAACAUAACAUGUACAGCAAUUUCUAAUGUACUGAGACAUGCAUAGACUAGAUCAUGAACAGGAUAAUAUUGUCAUGUUGAGCCUUUGAUUGAAUUCUAUCUUCAAAUUGCAGGCCAACCCUGAGUACUUGAAAGAAUCCACUCUUGUCCUACCUGUCCAGAUCAAUGGGAAAACAAGGGGUACAAUAGAGGUUGAAAAAGAAUGUUCAGAGGAGGAUGCUUUUAGGUUAGCUUCUCAAGAUUCAAGACUGUCCAAGUUCUUGGACGGGCAAAAAGUUAAGAAGAGAAUAUAUGUUCCUGGAAAAAUUUUGAAUGUUAUCUUAGAUGCUAAAAAGGUGAAGGUUGGGCAAAGGUAGUCUCUUCGCCUUCAUUUCGAGUGCACACAUGGAGCUAAGCUGCCUCGGGAAUGGAACCUCAUACUUCUCAAUUAUCCUUGUGCGAUGUCUCACUGGAUCAAAUGUGAAGGAGUCACGGUGCUUGUGAAAGUGAAACCUCCAGCAGCGCCAGCAGCGCCAGCACAAUGCCUGGUGGUAGAUGUAUAGUAGGAAAAGAAAUGCUGCAGAUUUUGCAUCCUGUAGCUUUUUCUGCUGGAAACAGCAGAUUAGUGGAGUUUCCUAUCAAUAUUUACAUGCGUAGCUAUUUGUAGCUUUAGGUUGGUUUGUUGUAAAUCAGUCCAUGUAUUAAUUAAUCAGUGCAAUUUUGAUAAUAAUGGUCAAAUAAAUAAAGCUAUUCUUUUGUCGACAUCGCUCAUUUCAAGGGAAAAAAAAGGAGGAGAAGAAGAAGGAGAGAUCCUUUUGCUGUUUAUCAUGCGUUGCUUUUGUGCAUGAUUAGAGGCGUGCAUGGAAUCGCACAAAUGGCAAAGCUAUUAUUGGCCUUGGCUCCUGACCUCUGUAUUGGCAAAGUAAGGAGAGCUAAACCAACUUCAAGAAAAUUCUAGUAAUUGCUGCUGGUUUACCAAUGGUAACUGAUGAAACUUUCAUGCAAAUCAUGACUAUCUAAAUUGACUCUGUCUUUAAUGUUGGCAACGUGAAUAACACCUAUACAUCAUGUGAAUCGGAUCCCUGAGUAAAUUGGGAUAAUUUAGUACUACUAUAUGAUUCAGUGCUCCCAUCAGCUGCUCGGUCGGACGCCAGUGAUCAGAAGUCCCAAAGAUUAUGGGCGUGAUGAAAGGUGUUUCUACUUUGUUUCUUUUUUUUAAUAUAUAUUAGGGAAAAUUGCAGAAACCUCCCUUGAGGUUUCUGACACUAACACACACCUUCCCUGUGGUUUAGAAAUAGUACUGACCUCUCUUGAACUUACUGAUUCUUUGCAUAUUCGGUUCAGACUAGAACAAGUGUCAUUAAAAUAUUGUUUUAGGGUAUGAGAUGAGAAAUUUGUGCCAGAUUUGUCUUUUGUGCUACAUGCCAAGUAGAGUAUUAGUAAAGGAAUGACAAAGCACUACAAAUCAAUUAACAAAUAAUAAACUUUAAGGGGUAUAGUUUAUGGACAAAUAGACAUUACCUAUUUAAAGUACCAAUUCUUUAGGGGCAUUUUACUCUCAAACAUUAAUUUAUAAUAAAUACAUCAAUGUUUGUAAGUAAAAUUCAAAAAAUGUUACAGUAAUAUUCUUACAAAAAGAAAACCGGUAGAUUAUUAAAUAUUUUUUAAAAAAAAGAAUUGGCCCAUAAAGUAUUAAUUCUUUAUGGCUUUCUUCCAUUACAUGAAUAAAGUAUCAGCUCUUUAUGGGUAUUUUAUUUUGAAUCAUUUAAUUUAUGUUAAAUACAUAAAUGUUUGUAACUAAAAUUGAAAAAGUGUUGCACUAAUAUUUUUACGAAAGGAAAACUGAUAGGUUCUGUAUUUAACAUAAAUUAAAUAUGCGAAAGUAAAAAAAAAAGAAAUUGCCCAUAACAUAUCAGCUCUUUAUGAGUUUCCUCAUUACAUGAACAAAGUACUAGCUAUUUAUGGACAUUUUAUUCUGAAUCAUUUAAUUUAUGUUAAAUACAUGAAUAUUUGUCAGUAUAAUUCAAAAAGUGUUACACUAAUAUUUUUACGAAAAGGAAAGUAGUAGGUUUUGUAUUUAACAUAAAUUAAAAUGUGAAAGUAACACUUACAUGUGAUUUAAUUAGUUACUUAAUUUGUUGACAAGAAAUAAGGUUUCUUUUGCAAAAUUUGUUCAUUAGGUUUCUCCAAAUAAUUAGGGUAUAAAGGUAAAUUUUCACAAUCUUUUGUUAGCAAAUAUGGAACAAAAUUUUCAUUUCACUCCUUAAAAUAAUAGUUGAAUGGCACUUUUUCUAGCUUGGACUGCACAUGCAAGAAUCAAUAAGUUUAAGGCAGGUCAAUGCUAUUUCUUAAACUUUAAUUGGGGCAAAAGCAACUCUAAAAUUUUUUACCAACUCUUUUUUUAGUUUUUUAAGAAAAAAAAUAUUCACCAACAAGUACAAAUGAUGCAUAUAUUUCAUGAAAAACAUCAAAAGACAAACUCAAAAUUAUUAAUGUAAUAAUAAUUUUAUUUCAAAAGCAAACUAAACCAUUUACAAUUGCUUAUGACGAGUUUUCAUAUUUUGAUAACAGUUUACAACCUUUUCAUUUUGAACUUCACGAAGUAUAUUUUUCUCAAUAUAAGUAACUAAAUAAUUAUUCAUCCAAGUGUUUUCCAUUUUAUUUUGUAACCGAUUCUUCACUAUAUUCAUCAUUGAAAAAACCCUUUCUAUGGUAGCUGUAACAACAGGUAAAAUCAAAGACAACUUUAAAAGCAUAUAAAUCAAUAGAUACACAAAACUUCAGGGGAUACACUUGAAAUUACAUCAAAUUUUUAUAGGUAUUAUAGAAAUUUAAGGGGGCAUGGGGGCCUACAAACCAAUAGAUACAUAAAACUCCAGGGGCACAGUUAAAAUUACAUCAAAUUUUUGUAGAUAUCACAUAAAAUUACAUCCACGGGCCCCACUGCCCCCAGUGUAAAUCCGCCACUGGCUUGUGGUUGAGUUCAAGCUUAAUCGUGUUCUUAGCAUAAAACUUGAGCUUGUACUCAAGUUCAAAAAUAAUAAAGUUUGAGUUUGAACUUAGUCAAUAUCAAAUAAAAAAACACAUUUAAUAUUUUUUCAAAAAUUUUAUGAGGCAUUUGACUUGAAGGCUUGAGCAAAGCUUGAUGUUAUACUGAGCUUAGCUCAAGCAUUUAAUGACUAGCUCAGAAACUCACAAAUAAUAUCAUUUUAGGUAUAGAGCCCUGGACAUUUGAGCAGAGAAUUGGAGAGGCGGUUUUUAUUCCAGCAGGUUGCCCACAUCAGGUUCGGAAUCUGAAGGUAAAUUAUCUGCCCCUCUAGCUCAUUCUUUUGAUGCAUUCAUUCAACUUAGAACUUUCCUUUGGCACUUUCAGUCUUGUACAAAAGUUGCUGCAGACUUCGUUUCUCCGGAAAAUUUACAUGAGUGCCUUCGAUUGACUGAGGAGUUUAGGAGACUUCCAAAGAACCACAAGGCCAGAGAAGACAAGCUAGAGGUAGCAGCCUGUCUUCCAUUUAUUUGAUUAUGGAUCAUUUUUUGGGUAAUUGUGUUAAAAUGGGAACACCUAGUGCUGUCUGACUCAAUAUUCAUUUCUGGAACAGGUAAAGAAAAUGAUUGUUCAUGGCGUGAACCAAGCAGUUCAGGAACUUGAACAGUUGACAAAUACCAGUAUGAAAACAUGUGGAUUCAUUUGGGAGUAACGGCAUGCAGAUGAAAGAAUUGAUGGUGUUGAUCUAUUUGAAUUGAUACAAUGCUUCCUUGGAUUUUGGACAUUUGCGGGAGAGAAAGUUCAGAGAUAUCUGUAGAUAAAAGACGGAAUUAGUAACAGUAUUCGCUUUUUCACAUACUUUACGCAAAAAGAUAAAUAAUAAAGAAGGCUUUUGGUUUCAUCAGCUAUGCAUCAUAACGCUUUUUCUCUUCUGUUCUUUGCUGUUUGCUUUUCUGAUCAUAUUUUUUUCAACUAAAGCCAACCCUCUUUGCUUCCUCCAUGGAAGGAAAAAGUUGCCCGAGUUGUCCAUUCCUCGCGGAGAAAAAAAUUUACAGGUGCAAAUAUUGUGUAUGCAACAUGGUUCAAAGCCGCGGCCAUGGCUCCGAUUAUUUCACAUCGGUCUCGGUAUAUCGGUUGCGGUUUUGACGAUACGCAAAUUUUUGAAAUAUUUAAUAUUCUAAAAAUUGUAAAAAAAAAAAGAAAGAAAUUAGUAAAAAUAAUAAAAAUUCGAGUUGACUCAGGAUAACUUGGAGUUACUAAAUCAUUUCUAUCCGUCUCGGAGACAUCUCAACCAAUAUCUUGGCGAUCCAUUAUCUCGGAAUCAUUUUGUCUCGAUAUCGAAAUGAAAAACCUCGUUCCGAUGACGACUCGACUAAGUCUUUGAACCAUGAUAUGAAAUGUAGGCGUGGUAACAGUCCAGUCAAGUCCAAACACGGAUACAUUCAAGUUCAAUCUCGAUUUAUCUUGGUUCAAACUUGAUGAAUACUAUAUUCAAGCAUUUGAGGUCAACUUGAUUAAAAUAAGCGAGCUCAAACUAAGCUCAAGUCCUAUGACUAAUCGAGAUUUAGGUAAUUUCACUAUUUUAAGUAUAUUCAAGUUCAAACUCGAUUUACCUUGACUUGAACUUGAUGAAUAGUAUAUUCAACUCGAUUAAAAUAAGCGAGUUUAAACUAAAGCACUGUUUCAUAACUCAAUUCAACACUUAAAGUUAAUGGAUUCAAAUCCUAAUAUGUCUAGUUGCAUUCGAUAACCAAAAAUAGAACAUAUGAGUUAAUUAAGUGACAUUAGGCAAAACUUGAUUACAAAAAUAAGUGAUACACUAUUCACUUAUCACUUAAUAUGAUAUAUACUCAAAUGUAUCAAAUUUAGUACUUAACUAUUCAAUAACUUAAUAGAUUUAGACUUUAAAUUUUAAUUUUAUUAAACGCACCCCAAACUCAAGUCCUAUGACUAAUUGAGGCUUAGGUAAUUUCACUAUUUUUAGCAUGUUUGUGUGCACACACAUCUGAAUAUGCUUAAGAAGAUGAGUUUAAAAUAACAUAAUAUUAAAAAAAUCUCAAAAGGAAAUGCGCACACAUGGACAUACACAGAAGUAGCUUAAUUAUGCAAAAUUAUAAGAGAUUAAAAAAUAGUGAAAAUUUAUUAAAAAUAGCAUGGUUAUGCAAAACUAUAAGAAGUCAAAAAAAAGUGAGAAAUUUUUAAAAAGAUAAAGAAAAUGAAAGACAGAGGAAACAUAGACUCGUACAUACAAAACACAUCUACAACAAACUUUCAUCAAAGCAAAACGCACCAUGAAAAUCCCAAUUAUAUAGUAGUAGUUUGUCCUGGAAGAUGGCUUCCAUGACAAGACAUUUUUAUAAAGCGAGAACUCAGAAGUUGUUUAAACGUGACAGUUUUUAGAAGUUGUGAUAUUUAGCAAUUUAGUUUGUGUUAUAGUAGUUGAGAUGAGAAGUUAUUAAAUUAAUAGUAAAGUAAUUUUGCAAUUGAGUAGUUUAAGGAGUUGUAUUAUAUCAGUAAAAUAAUUAAGGCCAUGUUUGAUAAUUCAAUUCAGUACUUAAAUUUAACGAGUUCAAAUCUUAAUAUGUUUAGUUGUGUUUGAUGACGAAAAUAGAACAUUUGAAUUAAUUAAGUGACACUAAAUUUUCUAAGCAAAACUUUUGUAAAAAAUAAUUGAUAAGCUAUUCAUUUAUCACUUAAUGUGAUAUAUACUCAAAUGUAUCAAAUUUAGUAUUUAACUAUUCAAUAACUUAAUGGAUUAAAAUUUCAAGUUUUAGACUUCAGUUUAUCAAAUGCACCCUAAGUUCGAUCCUACGCGUACUUAUUGGUAAAGAGUUAAUUAGAAGGGUGAAACUAAAAUCACAAAAAAAAAAGUGAUACUAAAUUAUUUAUACCAAACCAAACCAAUCUAAACCCCUAUUGCCACUAUAUUAUUAUGUGUUACACACACACCAUCUGGAUGUGUGAAAAGCUCAACAAGAUGCUCAAACAAUUCGAGCUUGGGUCAAAUUUGAUCAAACCCAAGUUGAAAUUGAGCAUUUGAUGGAGCCUAUUGUGAGUAACUCAAUCCAUUGCCACUCUUCUAUUGAUGUAAUUGACCUUAAAAACAAGCAUGAGAAGAAUUGGCAUAGGUUCCCAAUUAAAGUAGUGUGUGUGUAUAUUGUGAACUUGUGUAAGCAUUAAUAAUUCAUGAAAAAGAAAUCAAAUAUUUUUACAUGUUCACUAAUUUUAUUUUAGAAAUUUAACAUAUUUUAAGUGUUCAACUUUCAUAUCAAACUUCAAAAGCUUCUAUAGAUGUAUUUAUUAUAAUGUAAAAAUAUCCAUCAAAUUAUGCAAGACAUACUAAAAAAUUUAUAUAAUUUUUUGAGAUAAUUAUUAUAUUUUUGCAAUGAUUCUAGAUCUAGAACUACAUAUUUAUAUUCAAUUAUAUACAAAAGAGGCAACAAUCUAUUUUCUUAUGAACGAAUAUUUAAUUUUUAGUAGAGUUAAUGAAUUUACUAAUGUAACAAAUAAAAUUACUCUAAUCCAAGUUAAUCCAUAUGAAUAAAAAAUAACACAUAUUAAUUAUAAAAGAUAAAAGUUUUUAGAAAAGAAAGAGAAACCAUAAUAAAAAAUAGUAGACACAAACACAAUAACAUAUAAAAGUAAAAUAAAAUUGACCGCUCAUUGAAAUGCAUGCUCUACAAUGAAUUCUAUCCAUUUAAAUUUAUGUUAACUCAUUUCUAACUUUUAACUAUACCUUACAAUCACAUAAUGAUUGCAUAGAAUCUGGAUCCAUUAGUUGGUUGGCAUUUUGACCACCCAAACGGCAAACAGUGGGCAAGCUCAAUCAGGUUGGCAUCACUGGCAAAGAGCAGCCAACUGCAAACAAGUCUAGCCGAUUUGAGUGGUAAGGAGGGCAGCCAGCUGCAAAUAAGUCUAGCCAAUUCGAGUUUUGGCACACUGAUAGGGAUGAUAAUUGAGACGGGUGCUUGCGGGAGCUAACGGGAUGAGGGAAAUUUUUUCCCCCCAUUAAGAAAUGGGCCGAGGAGCUGGGGAGUAUACCUCCGCCCCAUCUCCCACCUCAUCACCUCUAAUAUAUAUCUGUACGUGUGUGUGUGUUUGUAUAUAUAUAAUAUUUAAUUUAAUUAGUUACAACCUUAUAAUAGUGAUAUUAUUAGUUAUACAUAUUAUAUAAUGUAUAUUAGUAUAUAUAAUAUAAUUGAAAUUAUCAAUUAUAUUAAUAAUUAUACAUGUCUACUAAUAAAAAUUAUUAAUUUGUUAGCAGGAUGCUUGCGAGCUAGCUCAAUUUAUUUGCAACACUUGGGUAGCUCAAAUGCUCAAUCUGAUUGAUAUUAUUGGAGCAACCUAACUUCUAGUUUGGAUUGCUAUUUUUAGAAAUUUUUAUUAAAAAAGAUAAUUGAAAAAUGUGUUCAAAGAAAACGUAAAUUUUUUUCUGUGAAAAAGUACAAUCAAAACAAAGCCAUAUAAAAUUUUUAGAAAUCCUUUAAUUUCUACUUGUCUUCGUCUGUGUUAUUAUAGAUUUAAAUUUUGUCCCUCCCAGGAUUUUAGAAAUCUUUUUUAGAUCCUAUCAAAAUGUGAUCACUCAUAAUGCGUUUAUGAAAAAUGUAAAAUUUUUUAAUGUGAAAAAUUACAAUCAAAACAAAAGCAUAUAAAAUUUUUAGAAAUCUUUUAAUAUCUACUUGUCUUCGUCUAUAUCAUUAUAGAUUUAAAUUUUGUCGCCCCCAAGAUUUUAGAAAUCUUUUUCAGAUCCUAUCAAAAUGUGAUCACUCAUAACUUGUUGACGGUUAACUCCUAAACAAGAAAUCCUAGAUUUGAGUAUUAAACGUUAUAGCUAUUAGACUUUAACCUUAUACUUUUCAUAAAAAUAUGUAAAAAACUAGCUAUCGAGACAUACUCGAUGCAUGUGCAAUUUGUUCAAAAAUGUUACCCCCUUUGUUCCAUAUAUGUAGUCAUAUUUGGAAAUAUAUGCUUUUUAUGUACGGCAAACUCCAUCAAAAUUUUUUUUGUUUUGUUUCACUUUUACCCUUAAUCAUGUGCUGAUCAAAAUAAGUAGAAACAAUCCCAUCACAUUUAUCUUUAUGCAUCAUUAAUGAAGGGGUAUAAGGUCAAUUUUUGAGUAUAAAAUAAUUAAAAAUAUGAAACAUGACAAAUAUUUUGAGACAAUCAAAAAAGAAAAGUAGGACACUUUCAAUUGAACGGAGUGAGUAUUAAUUAUUCAAAUUAGAUAAAUAGAUUGAUGAAAAGAAAAAGAAAACGCAAGACUAAAGAAAUAUCAUGUUAAAAGGGAAAAAAUGAAAGACAAAAUAUUGAUUUAUGAAAGAUCUCUCUCCCAACAAAAUGUACUAGGGAUUUCCAAAACUUUAUCAUGGUCAGUAGAAAAGACUUUUUAUGGAGUAAGAAUUUAGAAGUAAACAUGAAGAUUUUUGGUUGUCAUGUUUGGCAGUUUAAUUUGAUAUAUAAUUGGAUCAGGAGGAGUUUAUAAUCGUGAAAAAAUAGUUUUGCAAUUGUGUAAUUUAAGAAAUUGUAAUAUAUUAGUAGUUAAGCAAAUAAGUUUUACAGAUAUGUACGUUUAUUGGUUAAUAGUUAAUUUGAAGAAUAAAAUUAGAAUUACAAAAAAUGAUACUUAAUUAUUUACGCCAAACUAAACUUCUCUUCUCGCUCCCGUUUUAUUAUUGUAGAAAUAUUUACCAGUUUUGCCUCUAAAUCCAGUCUAUCGCUAUGGCCCGUAAUGUUACUUAAGUAUACAUAUUUACUAGUUUUGACCCCUAAAUGCUAGUUAGUCGUAGGGGUGUUCACGAAUCGAACCGUUCGCGAGUAGCUCAAGUACGAGCUCGACUCGAUCUCGGUCAAUAUCGAGCUCGAGUCGAAUUUGAACUAAUUAAGUCGAACUCGAGCUCAAAAACAUUAAACUCGUUGGCUCGCGAGCUCAAUUAUAUAUUUAUAUUUAUUUUUUUAUUUUAAUAGUAAAAUUACACAUAUAUCUUUAAUAUUUUAUUAUUUGUUAAAACAUUAUUAUUUUAUUUAUUUUUAAAAAUAAAUAUUUAUUUUUUAUUUUUUAAAAAUAAAUUUAUUAUUAUUUUUUUUUAUUUUUCAAGCUCGAGCUCAGGCUCGACAUUUUGAACUCAUCUAGCUCGAGCUUCACAAAAUUAACUGGAGGCUUGACUCGAUUAUGUCAAAAGUUGGUUCGACUCGACUCGUUUGCACCCCUAGUUGGUUGCCAACUUUGCUUUGGAAAGCGAGGAAAAGGGCAAAAAGAGAAAGGAAGGAAUGAAAGAGAGAGAGAGAGAGGUGAGAUGGUGGUGGCAAGUGCCGGUGGGAACGGGGAUGGAAAAGGUGUGCUGGUGUGGAAGGAAGGAGAAGAAGAAAAAAAAGAAAAAGAAAAGGAGAAAGAAUUUUUUUUUUUCAACCUUCAAAUACACAAAGUUUUUCUAAGUGAAACAACUUCUUCUACACUUAAGUUAGAAUAACAUUUAUUACAUUACAAAUAUUCAAAAAACUUAUCAUUCAAACGGACUGAUUAUUUGCUUGCAUCAAAAUUAUAAUUUCUAUUUUUAACAUCAUUUUUACGUCACAUAUAUCACAUAAUAAAAAGUAUUAUAAUAAUUAUGAAUUAAUUUUUCCUACACUGACAGUGUAUACAUUAUUAGCGUUGGAUGAAUGACAACCAUGCAAAAAUUGAAUUUCUCAACUUUUGUACACAUGUCAUGAAUCCAACGAUAAUAGUGUAUACACCGUCAGUAUAGGAAAGAUUUACUCAAUAAUUAUUUUAAAUAAUUUUUUUAUCUAAAUAUACUAAGUUUAACCAUAGCUAUGAGUUAGCAUUAGUAUAAAAUAUGGGUUAUUAUACUUCACAAGAAAAAAAAGAAAAAUAAAAUAAAUGCUAGUUGAUUGCCAACUUUGCUUUGGGAGGCGAGGAAAAGGGCAAGAAGAGAAAGGAAGGAAGGAGAGAGAGGUGACAUGGUGGUGGCAAGUGACGGUGGGAAGAGGGAUGGAAAAGGUGUGGUGGUGUGGAAAGAGGGAGAAGAAGAAAAAAAAGAAAAAGAAAAAAAGAAAGAAAUUUUUUUUUCAAUCUUCAAAUACACAAAGUUUUUCUAAGUGAAACAACUUCUUCUACACUUAAGUUAGAAUAAAAUUUAUUACAUUACAAAUAUUCAAAAAACUUAUCAUUCAAAUGGACUGAUCAUUUGCUUGCAUCAAAAUUAUAAUUUCUAUUUUUAAUAUCAUUUUUAUGUCACAUAUAUCACAUCAUAAAAAGUAUUAUAAUAAUUAUGGAUUAAUCUUUCCUACACUGACAGUAUAUACAUUAUCAGCGUUGGAUGAAUGACAACCAUGCAAAAGUUAAAUUUGAAAUUCAACUUUUGUACACAUAUCAUGAAUCUAAUUAUGAUAGUGUAUACAGCGUCAGUGUAGGAAAGAUUUACUUAAUAAUUAUUUUAAAUAAUUUUUUAUCUAAAUACACUAAGUUUAACCAUAGCUAUGAGUUAGCAUCAAUAUAAAAUAUGGGUUAUUAUACUUCACAAGAAAAAAAAAGAAAAAUAAAAUAAAAGUAAAACUUGGCAAAGAUGUGUUGUUAUAUAAAAGUUAAAAAGAAAAAAAAAAAGAGAAAACCUGGGCAAAAGAAGUACUUACACCCAAUUCACUGCUCUUCUAGCUUUGAUUGCCUCCAAUAAUUAAAGAAAGAAAAUUACCCCUCCAUCCUUCUCAAAGGUGUUUAUCCAUGGCUGCAUCACCAUGAAAGCGAACUACCCUGAUAGUGCUAGCAAUAAAAAAAGGGUAAAUUUGUGGGCUAUUGUGCUAUAAGUAAGGGAUCCGGUUGAAUCCGAUCUGAUCGGAUCCGACCACAAGAAUACGAUGCAAUGGCCGGGAAAGAAACGAACCACCCUACCAUCAUACGACUGACCAAGACCAAAGCCCUGCCUUCAGCGGCCAUCCUUAGUAUUGAU
rnacentral:lncRNA from 1 species